UGAGACAGGAAGCCAGUAGGAUUGAAUUUGCAUGUCAACCAUCAUUCAAGACAAGAAAUCAUGAUGACGUAUACCUUGUUCGCAAUUGCAACAAAAGAUUCUCACUGGUGUGGUUUGCAAGGUGAAGGGUUACAUGUAGAUGCCACAAACCUUGUCCGCAAUUGCAACUGAAGAUUUUUGGAUGAACCGCAAGACGAUCGGAUGAAGGCUUUCAGUUGUCCAGGCCAGGCCAGGUGACCAAUGACGAUGAUAGAUCGGGUUCGAUUCAAGCUAUACGCUUGGUGUAUUUGGUUAUCGUGACUGGCGACUUGAGUCUAUCUCAUCUCAUGUCCAAGGCGCGGUGGCUGGGUCCCAGGCAUGCUUGCCACUUUGUUCUGCGGUCCUCAUCUAAGUUUCGACGGUGAUGACAUGGACUUAGGUUCAGAGUACGUGUUCCCCUUGAGUCAUUGUGGUUGAUUGAUGGGGGCAAUUAACGGUUGCGUGUCGCUAGUCAUUCAAUUGGUCCCCUUGUUUUAGAGUGUUGGCGGGAUAAGUCUUACGACUGUUAACAAUAGUAAGCAAUAGCUGGCCAGCGAUCCCCUACCUGAUCUCGAGGGGGAUGGAAUGACUGGGGUUAAGACCUGUUGUUAGCCUGCGGAAUCUCGUCGGACGAAAUGUCAGGCGUGUCCGUGUGGUACAUGUGCUAAACCUGUUUAGUACUGACGAAGACAUUGGGCUCUUUGGAUAACAACAGUGUUCGUAACCUCCUUGUGCCUCACAAAGCUAAAAUAUACACCCGCUGAAAUCGACAAGACGGCGAUGAAGAAGGAGAGCCGGCCUCCAGCUCGAGAGCCAAGAAGACACUGGAUGGACCCCAAGGAUAUGUUGCUGCCAAUGUUGGAGCCAUACAGGGCAGCCCGAGCCAACAUUGUACAAGGGCCACAAGGUCCAGGGCCUCAAAGACAAGGGACACAAGGACAAGGGACACAAAAGACGAUGUUGCAUGUUGCAGUCUACAGGCCCUCUGCAGAUUGAGAUGUUGGCUGUUGAGAAGACCCAACCACUCAACCAAGAUCUACAAUUCGUGCUAUGGUAGAUGUGACUCUCAAAGAUUUUGGAUGACGAAGGAAUCCAAAGCAUAUAUGGCGCUCACGGAUACGGGCAGACAACUGAGAGUCGAGUGGAUUCAGUGGAUCGAAUGGUUGUGCCGAGGGAUAUCCAUGUACAGGAGUGACGAACCACAGUUCAGCAAACGUUGCCUUGACAGACCAAUUCAAGGAGAACCUUCGCUAAGAUCAGGAAGGGAAUGUGUUUGUUGUGCGGAUGGAUUGCACACUUGAAUGUCUGUCAGUCUAAUAGACUAUAAUGACAAUGUCCUAAUAGACUAUACUGACAUUCCAACUCCGAAGGGACUCUCUGGACUUAAGGAAAGCUAUGGACAUAGAGCCCAGACAUGAUAUCCUGCAGCCGCCAUGAGGACAGCCUAUCUCAUACCUUCGGAAGGAUGCCAUCACUGCAUGAUGAGCCAUCCCACAGAAGGGAGAAGGAUGUUGUUGACCCAGCACAUCCCAACCAUGCUCCCAUCGCCGUCAAGUAACAGUAUGACGGUUAGAUUGUAUUUUGUCACCGUAGGCUUUAUUGUUUUUAUCAAAAUAUCUGAUUGAAAGGUGAUUUAAUGAAAAUUCAAAUUUUUCUGAUCGUGAGAAGGCGAAUAUUUACCUUGCUUAAGACAAGCAUAGAUUAUUUUAAUCUGUGUUUGGUUAUCACCAUGACUUGUGCAUGCCAUGGUUCAAAAUCUUACACUUUUCCAAGAAGGAAUUGAAAUUAUGGGGGGUUGGGUAUUUCUUGCUAACAAGGGAGCCAAUGAUAAGGCACGCCAGAACCCAAACAAAAUCUUCAAGCUAAAUUUUGUGCUAAAGAUAAGAAAGAACAACAAUGUUGUUGGGGGGGAUGGGUUGUUUGUGGCUACCAGAGGAGCCAACAGCCGCCUUGGGCAUAUGUGGACCUUGAAAUUCUUUUCAGGCAAAAGUUAUUUUUCUGCUUAAAAAUCACCUAAUUCAUCAGAUAUUAAUUUGAUUACUGGUAUAUCCAUCACUUUGACAUGGGGUCCAUGUGUUGUUGUUUCGCUGACCCCACGAAACAAGAACACAUGUGUCUGAUGGAACUGUAGGCCUUUCAUGCUGUUUCUCAAUCUCAUCAGUAUCACAGAAUCAACUGACAUGGCCUGGGCUCCGAUGCCCUGGACCAUACAUCACACUGGCUCAGUUGCUCAAUACAUGUACCUUCAUGCUAGAGACAAAUGACUAACAGUGAUAUGUUGAAUUUGAAUUUCCUCCUUCUUGAAAUACCAAAACAUCUUUCCAAUUGAACUAAAACAGUUAGAUAAACUCUUACUGUUUUAUUGAACAUUUAAGGACUAUCCAUCCCCAGUGGUCACACAGUGAGCUGUUGUCAAAGCGUGUCAUUCGACAUGGUGGCAUGUAUGCAUGUUUUGUUACGGCUUACCAGGGACCCUAAAUUCAAUUAUGUGGCGAUGCUACCCCAGGCUUGUCCAUGGGUGCAUCUCCUUGAACAAUAGGUGAGCACAAUGGUACCUGCCGUCAUGGCAAUUUUGGACUUGAUACUGAAUUGAUUGAGAAAAGUGUAAUUUAAAAACGUCAACUUUUAGGCGUUUUAAAAUGUUUGUCCUGUAUGAAUGUAUUUGUAAAUCCUGUGUGUAAAUAUUUUGUAAAAUGUCUAAAUGAGAUCUAAUAAAGACUCCAUGACUUGGCAAAAAGUAUGGCAAAGCUAACUUUUAAUCUUUGCCCUGUCAAGGUCACCUCUUUUGUCAUGCAAAUGACAUGUUAGAACUGCUCCUUUUGUCAUGCUAAGUGGCAGCCAGCUCUGUCCAGCGGCCAUGACAAAUGUGGUUCCUUUGUUAUUCAAAUUGGGUCCUGCAAACCAACAGCAGUGACCAAACCUAUUGUAAGCUCACAUGGCUCACCUGAAGGCAUGGACAAUAGGUUUUAAUACAAUAGCUAUUCAAUCAUGUAUUAAACAAGGUGAAUGCAUGAAGAGAUUUAGUACUAGCUGAAACCAUUGUGGUGGAGUAGUUGAGUCUAUUGUGUUUGAUCUCAAUUUAGCAUUGUGUUGCAAGGACACUUAUCAGUGUUUCUUUGUGACAUCUUGUAAAGAAGUUGACCAUGUCUUUAAGGGAUAUCCUGUCUCCUGGUCCUCUUCUUGUAUUGGGCUUUCGGAGUGGUGCAGCAAAAAAAUAAUGUACUACGAUCAUUGUAUAAACUGUAAUUGACAAUGUAGUCAUGUAAAACAUAGCACCUGUCACCUGUGUGAUGGAGAAGGCGACUCCCUCCGAUUGCGUAGGUUUUCUCCCGGUAUGCGGGUUUCCUCCUACACUACAUUCCAAGUCGUCAUGUGUUUUCCUUGUAAUGCACAACAAUAAAGUUUUUUUGAAAGAGAAA